AACGAACGCUGGCGGCAUGCCUAACACAUGCAAGUCGAACGAGACCUUCGGGUCUAGUGGCGCACGGGUGCGUAACGCGUGGGAACCUGCCCUUAGGUUCGGAAUAACCCCCCGAAAGGGGUGCUAAUACCGGAUAAUGUCUUCGGACCAAAGAUUUAUCGCCUUUGGAUGGGCCCGCGUUGGAUUAGCUAGUUGGUAGGGUAAAAGCCUACCAAGGCGACGAUCCAUAGCUGGUCUGAGAGGAUGAUCAGCCACACUGGGACUGAGACACGGCCCAGACUCCUACGGGAGGCAGCAGUGGGGAAUAUUGGACAAUGGGCGAAAGACUGAUCCAGCAAUGCCGCGUGAGUGAUGAAGGCCUUAGGGUUGUAAAGCUCUUUUACCCGGGAUGAUAAUGACAGUACCGGGAGAAUAAGCUCCGGCUAACUCCGUG
rnacentral:rRNA from 1 species